CCCCUAGAUGUUCUGGGCCGCACGCGCGCUACACUGAACAGUUCAACAAGUCUUAACCUUGGCCGAUAGGUCUGGGUAAUCUUUGAACGCUGUUCGUGAUUGGGAUAGACCUUUGCAAUUAUGGGUCUGCAACGAGGAAUUCCUAGUAAACGCAAGUCAUCAGCUUGCAUUGAUUACGUCCCUGCCCUUUGUACACACCGCCCGUCGCACCUACCGAUUGAAUGGUCCGGUGAAAUCUCGGGACGGCGGCUUGGUCGCUUGCGUCCGACUGCUGAAACUUGAUUAAACCAUAUCAUUUAGAGGAAGGUGAAGUCGUAACA
rnacentral:rRNA from 1 species